ensembl:lncRNA
GGAAAGCUCCUCAAGAUGCAUUUGAAGCAUCACAACCCAGGUGAUUCCUGGAAAGCCAGCUUUCAAAGGAGGGAAUCUGUUUUAAUGAUUUCAAGCCAAAUUUUUCACAAUUCUCAAGGUUCCUGAAGAGUUCAAUCUGAGGAAAGGCACAGCUAUGCAUAAGAUGGUUUCAGGAGUAGCAGCAUAUGACAGCAUGGCAUCUUUCCAUACCUGUGGUGCCAGCAGCAUGAUUUGGGAGCAGGGGCCAAGGGAGAAGUUAAUCAUUCUUUUAACCUGUUCUGAAAUCCCAGUGUUAGUUUGCAUCCUAUUCAUCUUCAUUGCUAAAUUAAAUUUCUUUCAGUAAGACUGAGGAAUUGUUUUCAUAAAAAUCUUCCAAUUUUUCUCAGUUUACCUCUUUCAUGAUAAGACAACACAUUAUGCAUUAUAAAUGCACUUACACAUCUAUACAUUAGAUUACAAGUACUUUGAACUAAGGGAAGACCAGCCUGAAUGUCUGCCAAGCAAGGGAUUACUUAUAAAUACCAAGGUGGAGACAUACAGUUCAUUACCUGAUUUAAAUUCUGGAACUAUCCCAUUUUGAAACAGUUUCAUGAACUGAUUCUUGACAGGUACAUUAGGCAAUUUUAUUUAACUUGAAAGAAAACUAUUUUUAUAUUUCUUGAGACUAACUAGGUUAGUAGCUUAAAUUGAAAAAAUAGAAAGGAAGAGGGGGGAAAAAGCAGGAAUUUCUCUGAAAUAAACUAAAACCAGAGUAAAAAAAAACCAAGUAUUUGAUACUGGGACUGUGCAGUGGUAUAGACAGAGAUGUUCUCUUCCUAGACCUGGGGACAGGUGAAAAAAUUCUCAAGUUCUCUUUUUUAUUUUGUUUAAAAAACUCAAAACACUAACACUAUUUCAUCCCUAACUAACUGAGUUUUCUGGUUUCAUCACCUAAGAAUCAGGUGCAAAUACUGAAACCCAAAGAAGACUGUAAGCUGAAUGAGAAAGUCAUACUUAUCACCGAGGAAAGAUUGGUCUUCCAAAAUACUCUCAGGUUUACUUCUGACCCCUGCAUUACACAGCACGGUUAAUUCAAGCGGAACCUGCUCCUCACCACGCAGCAUCGCUUCUGCCCCACAGCUCCGUGCCAUGCUGCACCCAAACAAGUCUUCCACACUAUUCCUUUAAUGCUGCUUCGCUUCAAAUCACUUACAGCUUCUCAGAAAGGCCCUUUGAUGGCUGAGAGUGCCUACAGCAGUUUUUUGGCACCUUUAAGCUCUGUCAAUUUCCACCUAAGUCUUUAAGGUAAAAUCAUAUUUAGGAGCCAUCACAUACAUUCAGGAUGUGGACUUAAAGACUUCAGAUUUGUGAGACUUGUGACAAAUUGUGAGGAUUUGGCACAUUAGAAACUCUAACUAUAAAGAGCUACAAUAGAUGUGUUUGGAGGCAAAAUAAGAACAUGGUAAGAGUAGCUCUCAGAUUCAAUACUGUGUACAAUGUUUAUGAUAAUAAUAUUUAUUAGUAGCAAUUUUUUAUUUGAAACUGUAGUAUCAAUUUGGAAAACAUCAGUUGCACCUGGGUAUUUUAUAAUGACCUUUUCAUAUUUUUUCCUUAAAUCUGAAUGGUCUUAUCAGUAUUCAGAAAAUUGAUAAGGUGCUAGGAACACCUAUAGCAGAGAAAGAGGCAGAGGUAGGGAAGGGCUCUGACAUAUUCUCAUAAUUAACUGCAUAUUAAUUAGAGCAGUAAAGAGUUUGAAUGUUCAAAGCCAUUCUCUUAAGACUGGGUAGGCUGUACAACAAAUGUACUUUAAUUGUCUCUAAAUCCCCUGAUUUCAGCUACUCAAGCAGACAGUAUGAUAGCAGAUUGGUCUCAUAGUGCCACAACAACUGGAUGUUUCCUGAAGGACCAAUACUUCAACACAGCAUAGAGGAGAGAGGUACCUCCAUUAUCUUACAUUUUCUCUUUCAGUCUCUUUUCUUCCCAAAUAAAAGAGAAAAACCCUUAAAGCA